rnacentral:sRNA from 1 species
UGUCGGUGUGCUGACGUCGCAGUACAAA